GAAAAGGUUGUGUGUGAAAUUUGAGGUAUUUUCUCAAAAAAAUAGAUAACCAUCUGUUUUUAAAGAAAAGCAGUCCGGUCUCGAAAACCGGAGUAGGGGCAACUCUACCGGGGGUUCAAAUCCCCCUCUCUCCGCCA
rnacentral:tRNA from 1 species